CCUACGGGUGGCAGCAGUGGGGAAUAUUGCACAAUGGGCGAAAGCCUGAUGCAGCAACGCCGCGUGAGCGAUGAAGGCCUUCGGGUCGUAAAGCUCUUUUCUCAAGGAAGAUAAUGACGGUACUUGACGAGGAAGCCCCGGCUAACUACGUGCCAGCAGCCGCGGUAAUACGUAGGGGGCUAGCGUUAUCCGGAAUUACUGGGCGUAAAGGGUGCGUAGGUGGUUUCUUAAGUCAGAGGUGAAAGGCUACGGCUCAACCGUAGUAAGCCUUUGAAACUGGGAAACUGGAGUGGAGGAGAGGAGAGUGGAAUGCCUGGUGUAGCGGUGAAAUGCGUAGAUAUCAGGAGGAACACCAGUUGCGAAGGCGGCUAUCUGGACUAUAACUGACACUGAGGCACGAAAGCGUGGGGAGCAAACAGGAUUAGAUACCCUGGUAGUC
rnacentral:rRNA from 1 species